UAUGGCUUUUCACUUUUCUCAAGAAUAAUCUGCUGGGGAAGGAAUUCAAACACUGCAGAUAUAAAGACGCAAAAACUCGAAUAGAGUGAACAUAUGAGCAAUUAAUCUGGAAAAUAAUCAAACCAUCCUAUCUGCAAAGAUCUCUGCUCUCUAAGAGAGCUGCUGCAGCUGCUCAAUCCAGCAUGUUGGUGGCGCUAAUCAACUGGCACACUUGUACAAUUAUUACAACUUCUCAUGAGACCAGGUUGUAUUGAUUUCUUUUAAGAGUUUUCAAGAGUAAAACUUUUGAAAUAAAUGAUGACCACCAGUUUAGGAAGGGGGCAAUGAUGGUGAUCAACGUCAUAAGCACCAGUUUACCAAUUGGAUUUGCCUCAGAAUUUCUGUUGUUUCCUUUUACACCACCCACAGUCACACACAGAACAAACUUUCUCUACCACUUCACAUUCUCUAUCUUACUCUUUCUCCAAGUUCCUAUUUUACAGUCUAUCUCAUUUUCUCUUUUGAUCAAAUCAUUCUGUGGAUAAGGGAAUCAGAUUUGACUCUCAAAAGUAUAUCUAUUUUACCACAACAUAAACUAUUCUUUUGUUGGGCUCCUAAAAUGUCAUGGAGCUAUAGUUUUACUUAAAUGUCUUUGUGGACAUUUCAAGGUAAAUAAAAAUCUGCUGAAGACUGACAUCAACAAAGAUCUGGACACACACAGUGCUGCAGACAGUAAUAUUACUGUAAGCCCACACUGCUUUAGAAAGAGAUAGAGAGGAUGAGUAAUGUUUGGCUGACCCCAACAGUGCAUGUCUUUUAUAUGGCUGUGUUUAAUGAAACAGUGCCAAGCUGUUAUUUCUACAGUUUUAAUAGACAACUGAUUGUCUAUAAACUCCUUACAUAACAAGCAAGUCACAGCAAAAACCAGUCACAUAAUUGGCAAACAUAAUAAUAGUAAUUGAAACGACUUCUGACAUUUUUCACUAGAAAUAAAGGCAAGGAAAACCUGGAUACAUCAGGUAAUCUUUAAAUUGUGCUUUACAGUCCUCAACAAAAAUGUUAGAAAGUCACAGAAAAGUCAUGGAAAUUUCUAUAUUCUAUGCUCUAAAAGAUUCAAUCAGCUAAAAAUUGCUCUUUGUCAGUGCAAUAUCAAUAUCUUUUUUACAAAUUCCUAUCCAGUAAUGGACUGUGUUGGUUAAGUUACUCAAAAAAGUAAUCCACUACAAAUUACUAAUUAAUUCUCUAAAAUUGUAAUAAGCUUACUUUACUGAUUACUUCAUUGAAAAAGUAAUUACAUUACUAGUUACUUUACAUUUUAGUUACUUUACAAAACACUAUUAACUGAAAAGUUUUUGUUGUUACACUCAAAAAAUUCAAAAUAAUGUAUAUUUUCCACCUUUUCAUAGACUCGUUAGGGGGUGCACUGCUUUGAGCUGUUACAGGAACACAAACUCAUAUUUAAUAUUUAAUAUUUUUAUUGUAUUCUACUUAACAUUAUUUGAGAAAUGUAUAUCCCAAGUAAUGUAUUUAAAAGUAAUUAACUGAACUGAAAGUCAGUAAAUGUAAUCUGAUUACAAGAAUUUAAAAUGUAAUGCGUUGCACUACUUUUUGAUAGAAAAUAAUUAUAUUACAGCAAAUAAUUUGUAAUCAGAUUACACCCAACACUGGUAAUGGAGGACUUGAACUAAAGACUGUAAAAGCCAUGGAAAUUCAUUGGUCUAUGAGGUGGGAAUGAUGAAAAUUGUUUAUCCAGUUUUUUGGGAGGAAAUUUAAGAGUUACUCUCCUUCCCAGGAGAAUAAUCGACACAUUCUCUACCAAAGAUUAUUUUAUAUGAUACGCACAUAUGAAUGGACUUCCUCCACAGCAUUCACACUGCUUGUAGUGUAAAGUCAUCAUAACAUGUAUAUCUCUUUAGUAGAAACAUUACAAUAAUCAGCCCUCAGGCCUAUGGUGUAUUUUUGUCAACAGCUGAUCAAGAUAGCAAGUGUUUCAAUGUACACAUCAUGUGUCUGUCUUAUGCACAGGGCCAUAGCUAGUGGGGUGAAAGGUGGUAAUGAUUCUAGGAGCCCAAAGGUCCAGGGGGGCCCCACAACAAAUUCUAAACUGUAUUUUUUAAUAGGAAAGGGGCCAAGAGCAAUAUACAGUCAGGGGGCCCAGAUUACCUUGCUACUGCCCUGAUUAUACACACAAUACUAUCUGAUCUACAUGGUGAUUAAGAUCAACCCUCAUGUCCUGUGCCUGCAAAUGAGCCGGAUAUGUGCUGCAGGGGAGGACAUGAGUCCUGGAUGACCUUCUGUCAUCUCCUUACAGAAGGUAAAAGCAGAAUGCUGUCGCAUUAUCAAGAUGGUGCAUUGUGCAAAGCCACAUUGAGGGGAAAUAAGGUGAAGUGGGAUUUCUUGUAAACAACACGGUCAUAAGCUUUCAGAGAGCAUACUUUUAAAAAAAAGUGUCUAAAAGGAAUAGAAAUGAAAAUGAAAAUGCCCCCUGCCCAAACUUUACAUUUACAAAGUCUCUGAAAUGAUGGCAAAAAAUGUUGUUCUUGUGCUUCCUGCUAAUUCACUUAUAGUAAGAUGCCUGCAUGAGCUAUGAUUAUUUUUAGACUAUUAUUAUUUAUUAACCUCGUGCAACCCCGCGUCCACGUGUGUGGAUGUUGAAUUUUGGCCUAGCUAUAUGCAACACAUAAUUUAAAUGAGUUAAAACCAACUGAAUAUUGUUCACGAGACUCUACACUGUCAUUUAAGGGUUAAACUUAUGCUGCAUCGCAUCACAUGACACAACAGUGUGACGUUGAUUUCCGUGAAGCACUCCUAUGGGGGCAGCACCAACAAAAGUGCCUCUGUGGGUAUAAGAGGGCAGCAUUGUGGUAUGAGCCUUCCGAAUGGCCUCUUGUCCCUGUCUGGGCCUUCGUCUGCAACAGAGAUCCCUCAGGGACUGUGGAGGGGAAUGAUGACCAAAUAUGCCCAAUCCUGUUUGUCCUCCUGUCACUGGGGAGUACAAAUACUGCAGCUACGUGCUGCAAACCAAGCCUCCUUCUCCAGUGCAGCAUGUCCCAGGAUCCUCUGGGAGGGUCAGUGUAUGCCAUGUGUAUGCAUUUCACAGGGGCAGGGCAGAACAUGGGGGACAAACGUCAUGGAUAUAGAGAAAGCAAAAUAAAUCUGCAUAUAUAUAUAUAUAUAUAUAUAGUGUUCAACAUGUUAAAGAAAAUGUUUAAGUCAAGUUUAGCAAAUAUAGUACUGAUUACAUUUUCAGUUUUUUUUAAAAAUACUAUUGGUUUAAUUUGGCCACUGAUUCAGGCAGAGCUGCAUGAGGCAACGGACUCAAACACAGAAACUCACAAUACAUCUCAUUCUCUUUUCCUCAUUCCUUGUUCCAAACCCAUUUCUUUCUCAUACACUUAACUCAGUUCCACACCGUUCUCCCUCACUACCCCUGACUGCACAGAUACUUUGGUAUGGCUGGGCAGAGAGCCCUAAAAUGGACCAACAGCGAAGAGGUUUGAGCUGGGCCAUUUGGAUCUGGGCAAUACACACACCCAGUACUGCACAAAUCAAAUAUCUCAUGCAAUCUGAGAAUGUGCUGUUGUCUGCUGUUCUCCAUGUUACACAGGGACACUGAAAAAGCAAUUAUUGUCUCAUUUUCCAGAGCUCAGCUCAUCGAAAACAAUGACGGCAGCCACUGGAUACCUGGGAGCAGUAAUGAAAACUAUGAAAAGCCGAGAUGCAGGUCAAGAGGCUGGUGGCUUUAAUGAGUAUAUGUAAUUACAUUGUAAAGAACUGCUCAGCUGAGGGUGGUCCAGCUAUGGUGGCCAUUUAGAGGGAUAAAAACCCCUCACAGAAGACAAUGUAUGGCUAAAAGUUAUUUAAAAUUAAACAACAUGAUAAAACUAUCCUGAAAACCUGAGCUCCUGACAUAUUAGCAUAUAACGAAUAUGCAGAAUUAUUAGCUACUUUUAGAAGUUACUUUGUAGUGAAUACCUCACAUUUAGACAGUUUAGGAUAUUGUGUCUCUUCAUUGUCUGUACAGAUGUAAGUUGAAAUAUUAUGUUAAUGUUAUGGAUGUACAGUUGCAGUAUGUUUUAAG